rnacentral:rRNA from 1 species
GACAGAGGUCCCGAGCGUUAGGCGGAAUCACUGGGCUUAAAGCGUGUGUAGGCGGAUUUGUAAGUACCUUGUGAAAUCCCACGGCUCAACCGUGGAACUGCUUGGUAUACUGCUUAUCUUGGGCCAUCUAGGGGCUACCGGAACAAGUGGUGGAGCGGUGAAAUGCGUAGAUAUCACUUGGAACGCCAAUGGUGAAAACAGGUAGCUGGGGAUGUGCCGACGCUGGAGACACGAAAGCCAGGGGAGCAAACGGG